UNUAUAGCUUCAUUGGCGUCCUAAAGUGU
rnacentral:piRNA from 1 species